GACGAACGCUGGCGGCGUGCUUAACACAUGCAAGUCGAGCGAUGAAGCUCCUUCGGGAGUGGAUUAGCGGCGGACGGGUGAGUAACACGUGGGUAACCUGCCUCAUAGAGGGGAAUAGCCUUUCGAAAGGAAGAUUAAUACCGCAUAAGAUUGUAGUAUCGCAUGAUACAGCAAUUAAAGGAGUAAUCCGCUAUGAGAUGGACCCGCGUCGCAUUAGCUAGUUGGUGAGGUAACGGCUCACCAAGGCGACGAUGCGUAGCCGACCUGAGAGGGUGAUCGGCCACAUUGGGACUGAGACACGGCCCAGACUCCUACGGGAGGCAGCAGUGGGGAAUAUUGCACAAUGGGGGAAACCCUGAUGCAGCAACGCCGCGUGAGUGAUGACGGUCUUCGGAUUGUAAAGCUCUGUCUUCAGGGACGAUAAUGACGGUACCUGAGGAGGAAGCCACGGCUAACUACGUGCCAGCAGCCGCGGUAAUACGUAGGUGGCAAGCGUUGUC
rnacentral:rRNA from 1 species